UUACUUCUAAAUUAACUAAAUUAACGGCAAAAUGGCGAAUUUAGUAGAGUGGAUACUUGACAUUAGAUUAUCAACAAGUACGGUAAACAUAGGUAAUGCAUAUACGCCCCCUUCAUCUUCUUAACUUAUUCGUAAAGAGAAAAAUUCCUUUGUACAUACCCAUGUUGAGAUGAAGAGAAAAAAUGUUUAAUAUGUGAAAAAGAGUGUGAUAACAUAGCGAAAUGCAAAACAUUUGUCACAGCUGAUCGAAAAACGAAAUGGGAAUUCGUUAAAAAGCUCCAAUUAUGCAAACAUUGCUUAAAGAGGCACUCUCUUGUUUGCUAUAACAAAAACAAAAUGUGUAUUGUUGAUGGCUGUCACAUAAAGCAUCAUGACUUACUGCAUGGUGAUAAACAUAGCAACAAUUCUAAUACGAAGCCUAACAUACAGACUGGAGAUGGGAGAACAGCACCGAAUGAGAAAAUUGAGACAGUGACAGUGAGCAUAAUGUUAACUCCCAUAACAUAGGUAAACAGAGCAUUCUCUUUAAAAUCAUACCAAUAAAGAUCUAUGGGAACAACAACAACGUUGUAUCAACAUAUGCUUUCAAUUAGAAUUAAAAGGGGAGAUGGACCAGUUCUGUAUGACGUGGACAGCAAAUGUAAAAAGAACAGAGAAUAACUCAAAACGAUUCAAUGUCAAAGUGAUUGGUGAAAGUAAUAAAACAUUAUAUUUGGAUGUACGGUCAGUAAAAGAAUUAAUGUUGCCAAACCAACCUCUUGACUAUGAGUUACUGUGUAGUAAAUUUGCAUAUUUAAAAGGUCUUCCAGUGAGGGUAAAAGAAAAAAACAUCGCUUGGUUGGACAAUUUUCGGGCCAUGCCCCAACAAUAACCCAAAAGCUUACAACAUGCACAUAUGCGAAUGCACGGAAAGAGAUGACCAAAUACAACAGAUGUAUUUAACAGGAAUAAGCCCGGAAAGUGUAGAAAUGUUCCAAAAAAUGUACAUUCGUGAAGAAGACCGCCAUGUCCAGUGCUUUCUGUGGCGCAAUUGUGAGAAAAAUAGAGAACCAGAUGUUUACAUUACGAAUGUAAUGAUAGUUGGUGCUUCCUGCGCACCAUGCAUCUCACAAUACGUAAAGAAUAUGAAUGCACCGAAAUUUCAGAUCCAACUACCACAGGCUGUUGCAGGGAAUCACUAUGUAGACGACUCUUUAUAUAUUCAACGGAUUCUGUUUACAAGGCCAUACAAAUAGCAAAAGAGACCCAGUACAUACACAAUAAAGGUGGCUUUAAUUUGCGGAACUGGUGUUCAAACAAAAAAGAGGUAAUCGAUGAACUGGAAAUGAAUCAGCAGGACUCCGAUAAACAACUAAAUAUUAGCUCGGACAGACAAACUGAAAAAAUUCUCGGAGUUUUUUGGAAACCAUCCGACGAUACAAUUGCUUUUAAAAUCUCGCCUUAUAUUUGGAAUAACGAAAUUAUUCGCGAUGAAAAGCCUGUAACCAAACGUCAAAUUUUGAAAAUACUUAUGACAAUAUAUGAUCCCUUAGGCCUCAUCUGGAAUUUUCUUAUGUACUUAAAAACAAUGAAUGAAACAAUAAAAGUAGAAUGGGACCAGACGAUUAAUAUUGAACAACAAAAAAAAAAUGGUGCAAGUGGUUAAAAUACCUACCAGAGCUGGAAAAGGUAAGCAUGCCACGUUGUUACUUAAAGCAGGGAUGCUCAAAACUAAAAAUGAAUGUGUAUUGGUGCGAGAGAGUGAGCGUCCACCUAAAGAAAUUUCAGUUAGCAUUUGUGAGUUGUUGGCGCCAACUAAUGCAUAAUGCUAUUAUUAUUACAGUGUACUAGCGUAUUAUAAGGGGGAAAUGUUUUGUAUAAAUACAAAUAUAUAAAUUUAAUUUUCAACUAAAAGACACAAAUAAAAAAUUGAAUUAUUGUAAAAAAAAACACAAUUCACUGGUUAAUAUAAAAAUAAUCAAUAUAAAAGUAGUCUAAAUAAAAAAUGGGGAUUUAAGGCUUUUGAAGCAAGGAACAUAUUACCACAUAAUAAAAAUAUUAAUAUUUACAUUUAAAAAAUUAAUUGUUAGCACAUACUAAAAUUCAAGACAAUAAGCGGAGAUUUUUUAAUAUUUUUUUCUUCAAUGUUUAAAAAUAAGAGAGACAAAAAAAAAUCAAACCAAAAUAUAAUAAGACUUCGAUGUCAACAAUUCAUGCCUCAAAGGCUAAAACAAAAAAAAAAUCAUAAAAGUAGGUAAAUAAAUACUGAUUAAUAUUUUCUUUAAAAAUAAACAAUAAAUGAAUUCAAGACAUUUUGCAUUAUGUAUCAAUGAGAAGGAUUUUUAUCAUAUACUACCAUUACUGAAUAAAUCAUAACCCAUCAUUAUUUUAUAAGGUCCUCAAUUAAUAUACUCUUGCAACAAUUUCGUAUCAGCAUAAUGCUGCGUAGUUGUGACGAGCUCAACCUAUUCCGUUGUUUUGAGCAGAGAUAUUUUAAAUCGGAAAAUAUUUGUUCACAAAAAUAUUUUGUUCCGAAGAAGGAAAGGCAUUUAUAAGAAACCUCUUUAAUAUGAGGGUAUUCCGAUGUCUUUAUGUUUUUCCAAAAUUUAGUGGGUUCCACUUCUAUCGGACAUUCCAUU